CAUCCCAAUACUGUUGCGGACAGAUAAAGUGGAUGUGCGUAUCGAUGCCGCCGGCCGUGACAAUGUGGCCCUCGCCGGCGAUGACUUCCGUUCCAGCGCCGAUCUCCAUCCCUGCAGUCACAUUCGGCAUCAAGUCCGAGUUGCCGGACUUGCCGAUACCCACAAUCCGCCCGUCCUUGAUCCCGAUAUCCGCUUUUAUGAUGCCGGUAUAGUCCAGAAUAAGGGCGUUCGUAAUCACGGUAUCAAGCGCACCGCGCGCACUGGAUGCUCGAGGCGACUGUCCCAUGCCAUCCCGAAUG
rnacentral:sRNA from 1 species